rnacentral:misc_RNA from 1 species
AAUAUUCUCAAUGUUAUUGGAAUUUGGGGUAUGCUUUUGGCUACUCUUAAAUGUUUUUUAAAAGCUUCAAUUGAUAACGAUUUAUUGAAGGCUUUUUUCCUUGAC